GGAAUAUUGGACAAUGGGGGCAACCCUGAUCUAGCCAUGCCGCGUGAGUGACGAAGGCCUUAGGGUCGUAAAGCUCUUUCGCCAGGGAAGAUAAUGACGGUACCUGGUAAAGAAGUCCCGGCUCACUCCGUGCCAGCAGCCGCGGUAAUACGGAGGGGACUAGCGUUGUUCGGAAUUACUGGGCGUAAAGCGCGCGUAGGCGGAUCGUUAAGUCUGGGGUGAAAUCCUGGGGCUCAACCCCAGAACUGCCCUUGAUACUGACGAUCUUGAGUUCGAGAGAGGUGAGUGGAAUUCCGAGUGUAGAGGUGAAAUUCGUAGAUAUUCGGAGGAACACCAGUGGCGAAGGCGGCUCACUGGCUCGAUACUGACGCUGAGGUGCGAAAGCGUGGGGAGCAAA
rnacentral:rRNA from 1 species